CAGUAGCCGCGGGAAUACGUAGGUGGCAAGCGUUGUCCGGAAUUAUUGGGCGUAAAGGGCCCGCAGGCGGUUUCUUAAGUCUGAUGUGAAAGCCCCCGGCUCAACCGGGGAGGGUCAUUGGAAACUGGGAAACUUGAGUGCAGAAGGGGAGAGUGGAAUUCCACGUGUAGCGGUGAAAUGCGUAGAGAUGUGGAGGAACACCAGUGGCGAAGGCGACUCUCUGGUCUGUAACUGACGCUGAGGAGCGAAAGCGUGGGGAGCGAACAGGAUUAGAUACCCGCGUAGUCCCUGUCUCUUAUAC
rnacentral:rRNA from 1 species